CCUUGACAUCCAGAGAACUUAGCAGAGAUGCUUUGGUGCCUUCGGGAACUCUGAGACAGGUGCUGCAUGGCUGUCGUCAGCUCGUGUUGUAAAAUGUUGGGUUAAGUCCCGNAACGAGCGCAACCCUUAUCCUUUGUUGCCAGCGGUUCGGCCGGGAACUCAAAGGAGACUGCCGGUGAUAAACCGGAGGAAGGUGGGGAUGACGUCAAGUCAUCAUGGCCCUUACGGCCAGGGCUACACACGUGCUACAAUGGCGCAUACAAAGAGAAGCGACCUCGCGAGAGCAAGCGGACCUCAUAAAGUGCGUCGUAGUCCGGAUUGGAGUCUGCAACUCGACUCCAUGAAGUCGGAAUCGCUAGUAAUCGUAGAUCAGAAUGCUACGGUGAAUACGUUCCCGGGCCUUGUACACACCGCCCGUCACACCAUGGGAGUGGGUUGCAAAAGAAGUAGGUAGCUUAACCUUCGGGAGGGCGCUUACCACUUUGUGAUUCAUGACUGGGGUGAAGUCGUAACAAGGUAAGCGUAGCGAG
rnacentral:rRNA from 1 species